rnacentral:misc_RNA from 1 species
UACGGAGGGUGCAAGCGUUGUCCGGAAUCAUUGGGUGUAAAGGGUGCGUAGGCGGAAGCAUAAGUCGGGGGUGAAAUCUUGCCGCUUAACGGUAAAAUGGCCUUCGAUACUGGUGUUCUUGAGUUCGGAAGAGGUUGGUGGAAUUCGUGGUGUAGCGGUGAAAUGCAUAGAGAUCACGAAGAACACCGGUGGCGAAGGCGGCCCACUGGUCCGACACUGACGCUGAGGCACGAGAGCGUGGGGAGCGAACAGG